GUGUUAUAUAAAAUAUAUAUAGUAGAAAUCAUAAUUUUAACAAAAUACUAUUAUUUACAUAUGUUAUCAUCAUCUACCCCAUGUUCCAGAUUAAAAAAAAAAAAAACUACUACUACAACAAAAUUACCAAUUUACCAAUUAUUUAGGGCAUGGGUGUAGUGGUUUUGCUGAGAUGAAAUCUGAGUCGUUUAAACUCACAAAAAAAAACUGCUCCCAUGACAGUUCAGGGCAGUUAUUUGCAGUUUCUCAGCUGGUGGUUUUGCUUUACAUUUUUAUGCCCAUGAUCUCCACUUCUCAGCAUGUUAUCUCCUUAUUUUAAGACCCAUUAUCUCCAACUAACUCCUAAAAAUAUGGGUCAGUUGAGAGGAUGUAUUGCUAUAUAAUGCACUUGCAUUUAACAAAUUCAAUCAUUAAUUUCUAAAGCUAAUUCUGUCAAGCAUUUGGCAAAAAAGAAGCAAAGUAUAGCUUUCAUUAAUUCUAGCAACCUAGGGUGUUCUAGCAAUGAAAAUCAAAUUCCAUCAGCAACUAUAUCACGCACUUCAACAAAGGAAAUCUAGUUAAACAGUUUGGUUGAUGAGGAGCAAAAUACGUUGAUAAAAAUGGAUCAGAAUGUUGUUAUCAGGAAAUGGAACUUAGCACUUUGGUAGACAAGGAGCAGAAAACGUUGAUACAAAAUGGACCUGCAUGUGAUCAGGAAAUGAGCCUUAACAGUUUGGUUGAUGAGGAGUAGAAAACAUUAAUAAAAAAUGGACCGGCAUGUGAUGAGGUUCGCAAGGUUGAAAGAAGCAACAAGAUGUCUAAAGCACUAAGGAACUAGAAAUGGUACGAGGUGAUUGAGAUUGUUAGUUAUGACGAUGAUUGGGAAGAGGAUGAUAUUGUACGUGUAAUAGAAAGAAGCAAGUUUGCUUGUCUACACGGUGGAAAACGGGGUGUUCUUGAUUGGGAAAAGGAUAAUAUCUAGAUACACUUAUGUUUUGAAGGCAAUUGUUUCAAGAAUGAUGCAUGUUUUGUUUUUCUUUAAUGUUUAACUUAUUUCACUAUUUAUGUUUCCAAUUUUAAUGUUGAACAUAUCUUUAUGUUUUUGUUUUAAUGUUUUAUUUAUUCACUCUUAUG